AUCACUCUGACCCCCCCCCCAUUCCCACCCCCAGAUCCCGAGAGAAAGAAAAUCCUGUGAAGCGGCAGCCAGGGUGGUGGUCCCAGCGCGAUCCGGGGAGAGGGUCCUUACCUCGAUGGGGCUGACGGGAGUGGAAGGCAGGGGCUGCAGGUACUCGGGGUGCAAAAUGUGGCCAGUCCGUGCCGUCAGCAUCUUCAGCACCUUGAUGGGCAGGCGGUUAGCCUGGCGGAGAGGGUCAGAGGGGGGCACAGCGUGCACAAAAGGCUUGGUGCUGCCGGCCAGGGACGAGCCUUGGCCGGGGCCAGAGCUAUUUCCAGAGAGCGCGCUGGUCCAGGCAGGGUCCGCACUGCUGCCGCUGCCGCCGCCGCCGCCGCCGCCGCCGCCGCUGUGCUUACUGCUUCUUAGGGCAGAAAGCGAGGGCGCUGUGCUCAUGACCCACCCGCACGCAUGGGAGCAGCGGGGGGAGGGCUCCGGGAGGCGCGGGGCGGGCUCCGGGCUGCGCGCUCGCCCGGGGAGCAGAAGCAGUAGGAGGAGGAGCUGGCGCGGCGGCCACGGGCACCCAGCGCGCCUUCUCGGCGCCUGGAGCCAGAAGCGAAUAAUCCUGGGUGGCCCGCAGCAGUGCCGUGGCCGAGC
rnacentral:lncRNA from 1 species